AUUGAACGCUGGCGGAAUGCUUUACACAUGCAAGUCGAACGGUAGAGGGGGCAACCCCUUGAGAGUGGCGAACGGGUGAGUAAUAUAUCGGAACGUGCCCAGUCGUGGGGGAUAACGUAGCGAAAGUUACGCUAAUACCGCAUACGAUCUAAGGAUGAAAGCGGGGGACUCGCAAGAGCCUCGCGCGAUUGGAGCGGCCGAUAUCAGAUUAGGUAGUUGGUGGGGUAAAGGCUCACCAAGCCAACGAUCUGUAGCUGGUCUGAGAGGACGACCAGCCACACUGGAACUGAGACACGGUCCAGACUCCUACGGGAGGCAGCAGUGGGGAAUUUUGGACAAUGGACGCAAGUCUGAUCCAGCCAUUCCGCGUGCAGGAUGAAGGCCCUCGGGUUGUAAACUGCUUUUGUACGGAACGAAAAGGUUUCUCUUAAUACGAGGAGCUCAUGACGGUACCGUAAGAAUAAGCACUGGCUAACUACGUG
rnacentral:rRNA from 1 species